GAGUUUGAUCCUGGCUCAGGAUGAACGCUAGCGGGAGGCUUAACACAUGCAAGUCGAGGGGCAGCACGGGUAGCAAUACCUGGUGGCGACCGGCAGACGGGUGAGUAACGCGUAUGUAACCUACCCUGUACAGGGGGAUAACCCGGAGAAAUUCGGACUAAUAUCCCAUAGAAAUAUUGGAAGGCAUCUUUUGAUAUUUAAAGUUCCGGCGGUACGGGAUGGGCAUGCGUAACAUUAGCUAGUUGGUAAGGUAACGGCUUACCAAGGCUUUGAUGUUUAGGGGUCCUGAGAGGGUGGUCCCCCACACUGGUACUGAGACACGGACCAGACUCCUACGGGAGGCAGCAGUGAGGAAUAUUGGUCAAUGGGCGCAAGCCUGAACCAGCCAUCCCGCGUGCAGGAAGACGGCCCUAUGGGUUGUAAACUGCUUUUCCAGGGGGAGAAACUUGCGCACGUGUUGCGCAAUUUACGGUAC
rnacentral:rRNA from 1 species